CAAACCUCGACGGCUCAUAUUUUUCGUUCUGCCUUUUUUCCUGUUUUGCCCCCCCCCCCCNNNNNNNNNNNNNNNNNNNNCCCCCCCCCCCCAGUGAAAAUUCCUUAAAAAAGGCACUGAUAUAUGAUGGGUUCACACGGUGACGAGACCGGAGUAUUUUGGAACCGUAUACGCAAUUUUUAAAAUACGUUUGCACUUGUCCGUAUUAGAAUGUGUCAAUGUAUUAAUUUAAUUUAAUUUAGUUUAUGAGCCAAGUCCAUUGACAUCAUGAUAGUAAAGGUUGGAUAGGAAGAAUUUUAUCAGUUAAUAUGUAAUAGUUUAUGAUAUAGUUAGUGAGUUCAUUUUGCGCCUCAGAUAAAGAAAGAAAUGUUAAAGUGUCAAUUGGAAUCCAUAUAAUCUAUAAAAGCUUGUAUAACUAUAAUAAAUAAACUUUUGG
rnacentral:lncRNA from 1 species